rnacentral:lncRNA from 1 species
GCUGAUUGUAUAUGGUAAGAGUUUUACGUAGUUACAGUUGUAUAUAAAAAAAAUACCUUACAGUUCAUUCAACUAACAGAUGAUAUAUAUUUAGUAAGGAUGUCAUUUUGGUUUUUCUUUCUAUGAUUUAAAACAGGGACGAAAGAUACCAAAGGGACAAUCAAACUCAUAAAUCUAAAACAAACUGACAACGCCAUGGCUAAAAAUGAAAAAGACAAACAGAAAAACAAUAGUACACAUGACACACACAUCAUGCAUAUAGAAAACUAAAGAAUAAACAACACGAACCCCAC